UCGUUAUUUAUUAACAUAAUUUCCAUUAUUACAAGGUAGAAGCAAUAUUAAUGCAUAAAUUACAAUCUAGAUACAUAAACAAAUAUACACAUGGUUUCAUAUUAUGCAUUUUCAGCAGCGGGAUCAAGUUGAUAGAGUGCAGAUUCUGAAACACGUUUCUUGUACUUGGCAAUGAAAGCUUCAGCUUUCAUGUCAAUAUUGGGCUCAGCAACACCCCAGUUACCUUUGUCGUAAUCACUAGGAUAGACUCUGCGCCACGAAUCAGGGGCAUCAGAGUACCCUCCUCUGGGCUUCCUUGAUGAGAAGAUGUUGAAAAUAGAGAAGAAACCCGAAGAAGAUUUCCUUUGCCUAUUACCAGCUGCCAUGGUUUUGGUGCUUUUUUUGGCUAACAAUGACUGAAUCAGUCACUGUGAAGACAAAGAACUUGGAGUGGAUUGUGUUGGUUUUCAAUUCAAAGGUAAUAUGAUUAAUUUAUAGUCUAGGGAGGCUUCAAAUGCA
rnacentral:lncRNA from 1 species